rnacentral:rRNA from 1 species
GACGAACGCUGGCGGCGUGCUUAACACAUGCAAGUCGAACGGAAAGGCCAUGAUUUUGUGGGGUGCUUGAGUGGCGAACGGGUGAGUAACACGUGAGUAUCCUGCCCUUGUAUUUGGGAUAACUUCAGGAGACUGGGGCUAAUAUCGGGUAGGAGCUCCUGAUGCAUGGUGGGGGUUGGUAAGUUUCGGCGGUUGGGGCUGGACUCGCGGCUUAUCAGCUUGUUGGUGGGGUAGUGGCUUACCAAGGCUAUGACGGGUAGCCGGCCUGAGAGGGUGACCGGCCACAUUGGGACUGAGGUACGGCCCAGACUCCUACGGGAGGCAGCAGUGGGGAAUAUUGCACAAUGGGCGCAAGCCUGAUGCAGCAACGCCGCGUGCGUGAUGACGUCCUUCGGGUUGUAAACCGCUUUCGCCGUUGACGAAGCGUGAGUGACGGUAAUGGGUAAAGAAGCACCGGCUAACUACGUG